rnacentral:misc_RNA from 1 species
GCACGCCUUCGACAUUGUGGAGGAGUACACACCACCGAGAAGAAAACGAAAACAGAAGAAAACGACGCCCGGCCGGAGCAACAAGGGAAGGAGGCCCACCUCUCGUGUGGCCUGCGCGCGUGUGCGUCUCCCUGGCCAUCCAUUGCUGAUAGGAGCGUCAGCGCCAUCGACUCGACAGCAAGGGGCUUGCUUGCACAUCUGCAACGCCGGCAGAGAAGGAGGAUGGAGGACGUUACCGAGAGCCUCGCAGCGGCGUGGAAGGAGGCGAUGAAGGGCGUGAGGGUCGGCUACAGAAAAACGAAGUCGGUGCUGAAGCAGAUCCCGGUGGACCGCCUUAAGGCAUCUCGGUGACCGGCGGCGUCAUGUCGCACGGCGAUAUUCGACGCUUCUUCCAAAUGAAAUACGGAGCCGAGGUGCGCAACGCCGAGGGAGAGCGCGUGGCGGCGGACGAGGCCAGCGAUGUGGCGAGCUCCGAUGAGGAGCCGCUCACCGACGCGCAGGUGCAGGAGAAGGUGGACAAGAAGUUCUUUGAUAAGACGUACGACCCUGCCAUAUUCGAGCUCGAGCACUUGGACGGCUUUGCGUACACUGACGACGAGGCCGAGGGCCGGCUGAUGCGCGAGGCCGCGGAGGGAAAAAUGCGGGAGCUGCGCCAAAAGUGCAACAUUGUUAGCACAACGCUCAAGCGACGGGUGCUGGCGCAUCACCACUCCUUCGUGAGUGGCACGGAGAAGAUUCGCGACAUCAACGACAGCUUGCUCAUGACCUCGAGCGACUGCAAAAAGGCGCGCGCGGCGAUUCGUAAGUCGAAGGCCGCUGUGGCUUCGCAGGUGGCGUUGCUGGCGCAGCAGCGCACGAAGGAGAACGUGGAGGCGACGAUUCAGCUACUGGAGGCGAUGAAGGCGAUGUGUGGAAAGCGAACUCAGCUUAUGAACCUCAUCUCCAGCGGCAAGGUGCAUGAGGCGGCCGGCUUUCUGAAGCGGGAAGGCCCCAUCGACAUGGAGAGCUCGCUGGCAAAGAUCUACUGCAUGAAGCCGGUGAUGGCGGAGUGGCGCAUGUACCGUGACAACCCCAAGAAGCUCACCGACUGCAUCGAGGUGGUUCUCACCGACUGCCUGACGAACAAGUUCAUUGUACCGAGGUACCGCAACGCGCUUGAGGCCUCACAGGACCUCGGCUGUGCCAGUAAGACGUGCACGUUGGUGGCAACGCUGGUGUGGCGCGCAGCGAUUCAGAUUCUGUGCAAGUCCCUGACAGAGGUGUCGUUUGUGAAGAGUGAAGACGCCCCACUGGCGGACAUUGCAGAGGGCAUACACCCCGACUACCUCAUCGUCGGCGUGCGGCAGAUGGCUUCGAAGUUGAUGGACUUCUUGUAUCUCUACUCUACUGUAGUGCGGCUCCACGAAGAGGAAAGCCGCGGGAACUCUCCGUACGCCGGCUUGCACAGUCAGGCGCUGCAGCGCGUGCAGGACACAGGUCGUAAGGUCGGUUGUGACUUGGUCGAGAAGUUGACGGUGGUUCUCUCGAGCGCACGCCUCACCUCGAUCGACCCAGACCGUGUGCUGCACCUGUUCGUGGUGGUGAGUAUGCUGACAGAGGCGUUCGGCGUGCUGGGAAUUGAAAAGGCGGAGCAUGCUGCGGCCCGAACACAGAUCAAGGCGGUGCUGCUGCGUCACAUGCAGAUGCACUUCCAGACACCCAAGGCCCACGAGGUGCUGGCCUUCAUGGCUGAGGACGACUGGGUCGUGAGUCCUGUCUCUCCUCCGUCGCUGAACAUGGUGAAGCCGCUGUCCCCCAGCAACUUCAAGAGCUUCAUCAAGGAGGUGAAGAGCUACCUGCGUCAGAGCACCGACGAAGGCUCCCUCGCCGCGGGGGCGAUGCCGUUUAUGGAGAACCCGUUCCUCACUGAAAAGAUGCUGGAGCCCGCCGACACGUCCAGCCUUGUGCAAACGCAGACCUUCGGUGUCUAUUGGGCCACAGCGAAGACGGGUUGCGCGGCGGCCACCACCGCUGACUCUGCAGACAACGCCUCCACGAUGCGCGACGUGGGGACUGGCUUAGAGACUGCGCCGGUCAGCGCGCCUGCCAACAUCCAGGACACCGCUACGCUUGCGUCGUCGGUGGACAUGCCGCCCUCCGUCCUCACCUCCAGCGCCAUUUCCGUCGCCAACGCAUUCCUCGAGUACCAGGCCCGCAUAGCAGUGCGGUUUCCUCCCUUGGCGGCCGAUAUCCUUGGCUGGUGCGAGGAGCUGCUGUGUCUCUACUUCUACACUGUCGUGGACAGCUUUGUGUCGGUGUCGCGCAGUGUGCCGAUCGAGCAUCAGGGCGACUUUUCUGCGAAAGCGCAGCGCGUGUUGGCCGAGGUGCGCGCGGCAGGGGAGCGUGCGGUGGGGGCGGUAAAUGGGCAGUAUACACCGAAGGAUCAUAUCCGGCGUCUGUGCAGCGGUGGCGGUGCCGGCGGCGCUAACGCGACGACCUUUCGAUUCCCGCCGAUCGUGUGGGGCCGUCUGUCCAACGAGUUCACGAGCGCCGCACAGCAGUUUGCCUUGGCAACCGCACAGUGGCAUGCCAGUCGGUGCUCAGCCUCAUCUUUGUCUACGAGGCCACUAUCCAGACAAUGAGCCCACUCCUUCCGGCGACCACGGUGCAGUCCUACAUGCUGCGGUGCCGUGUGCUCUACGAGGCGGCGCACGAGGUGCUGCACGUGUGCAUCCACCGGUUGUGCCAGGCUAUCUGCCCCAUGGAGAGCGUCUGCAAAAGCAUUGCGAAGCUGAAGGGCGGAAAGGAUGAAGUGAUGGUGAGCUCGUACGUGGCGCAGCUUGUAGGCAGCAUGAAGGAGCUCAACGAGCGACGUGUUCCGAUGCCGACCCCGGCUCUUGAAUCGGUCUUCUUGCAGCGUCUCAUCUUCGCUGCGCAGGCCGUGCUGGUACGGGAGUACAGCAAACUCUCCAAGAAGCGCAUGAGCGACCUCUUCGUGAUGCAGCUGCAGGUGGAUGUGCAGUUCUUUCAGCAGCAGGUCGCCUCCGUCUUUGGCAAGUCUUCGGUCGUUGUGCCCGACUACGUACUGCGGCUUGUGAAGGCGGGUUUCUUCGCGGAUGACAAGGCGCAGUGCUUACAGUGGGUGCGCUCCAACCAUGCCCUUUACUACAGUGUGGACCUCGUCAACUGGUUUGGGGCGGCUGAUAAACCCUUCAUGCUACAGCUGGAGGACCUGCUGAUCCGGGAGCUAAGGCACCAGGACAUCCUCCCCAUGGAUCGCUUUGCCCUCUGAGAAGCCACACCGAAGGAAAGCACGCCGCCGUCGAUCCUUCGACAACCUUGCGUGCGUGUGCACCCGACCACAUUCUUGCCGGUGGUGUCGUGCGUAUUUCCGGUAUUACCGAGUGCUGAGGUGUGCGCGUGCGUUGCGUGAUUCUCUUUUUCGUUUUCGCUGUCUCGACUCGUGUUGCGUUUCCCAAUCGCACCUCUCUAUCCCCGCCUCCGCCUGCAGACAGAGAGAGACGCAUGACCCACCUCCUCGUCGGUGUGUUCUGCCACCCUCCCCUGUCCGCCGCCGUCCCCACGCGUGCAGGGCGCACAGGCCUCACUCCUUCACCAGACAGCGAACCAAUGUAGUGCGUGUGUAUAAGGAGAGGGGAGACACCGUUAGCGUGUGUUCGCUUGUUUGUGGUCAUCGUUGUGGUGUGCCGCGCUGUGUAGCCUUUCCUCUUAGUGCCGCUGUUGUUGUCCCUGUCUGAUCAGCCAUCGCCUCCGUUGGUGUCCCUGUCGCACUUAUGCCCUCGCUUGCGCGUGCCGCCCUUUCUUCUGCUGCUGCUGCUCACGCGCAGCACAGAGGCUUCCACCUCCGACAUACCUCUGCAGACCGAGACAACAUGUCACGGCGUAUCAGACCACCUCCUUUCUCUUCUUUGUGCGCGUAUCGAUGGGGAGGAGGGACGGGGGAAACUCUGCGGUAGAACAACAAAUACAGAGGACAUACCGAAACCUGUUGAACGCACGUGUGCAGCCGUGCAUGUGCGGCGCCUCUUUCUCUUGAGUCUCCUCUCCGAGCUAAAGGCAGCCGGGCAAGCAAUUGCGGAAGCCACGGCAGCAGGAUAUGGCAAAGGGAGAGUGGUAGCAGCACCCUACUCGGACGUAGAGGGAUGUGUGGAGGCAAUCGGGGUGCCUUCCGUUUAACGCCGCCCCAUGCGGUGCAGAAACACCUCAGAUACGAUGUACUUGAGGGCGUGUGCGUGAGGGAGUGAGUGGGGGUUGCCCUUCACCUGUACCUCGCUCUUUCCCAUAUACUCCUCCUCCUGGUACGCAGUCCGGGUCUCCACUCCUCCUGUGCGUGUCGUUUCCCCUCACCCAGCAACCUCCCCUGCUCCCAUCUACUCCGUUUCCCUGCUCCUCCGGUUCACUACCUGGCCACUGCCGGUUCUCUCCCUCUCCCCUUUUCCUUCCCCCCUGCCCACCGCCUGUGAGCGGCAUGUGGCACAACGCAG